AACGAACGCUGGCGGCAUGCUUAACACAUGCAAGUCGAACGAGAAAGCUCUUCGGAGCGAGUAGAGUGGCGCGACGGGUGAGUAAUGCAUGGGAACGUACCUUUAGGUUGGGAAUAACCACGGGAAACUGUGGCUAAUGCCGAAUAGUCUCGCAAGAGUAAAGAUGGCCUCUCCUUGGAAGCUAUCGCCUGUAGAUCGGCCCAUGUCCCAUUAGCUAGUUGGUGAGGUAAUGGCCCACCAAGGCUACGAUGGGUAGCUGGUCUGAGAGGAUGAUCAGCCACACUGGGACUGAGACACGGCCCAG
rnacentral:rRNA from 1 species